rnacentral:rRNA from 1 species
GAAGUCUGAUGGAGCAACGCCGCGUGAGUGAUGAAGGUUUUCGGAUCGUAAAACUCUGUUGUAAGGGAAGAACCAGUACGUCAGGCAAUGGACGUACCUUGACGGUACCUUAUUAGAAAGCCACGGCUAACUACGUGCCAGCAGCCGCGGUAAUACGUAGGUGGCAAGCGUUGUCCGGAUUUACUGGGCGUAAAGAGUAUGUAGGCGGACAUUUAAGUCAGAUGUGAAAUCCCCGGGCUUAACCUGGGAGCUGCAUUUGAUACUGGGUGUCUAGAGUGUAGGAGAGGAAAGUGGAAUUCCUAGUGUAGCGGUGAAAUGCGUAGAGAUUAGGAAGAACACCAGUGGCGAAGGCGACUUUCUGGACUAUAACUGACGCUGAGAUACGAAAGCGUGGGGAGCAAACA